ACGCGGUUGACGCAUCUACAUUCGAGCAUCUUCAAGCAUCUAUCAACCAUUAAGACAAUUGAUUUACGUAAAAACCAAUUUGAUUAUUAUGACGGAUCGUUGAUAUUACCAUCAAAACUUCAAGAGUUAUAUUUAAGCGAAAACCCAUAUGAUUGUUCUAAAAAUUUUAAAUGGAUUAUGAACAUUUCUAAAACAAAACAUAUAAUGGAUCGACAAUUCCUACAGUGCGGAGAUAAUCGUUUCAAAAACCAGUCCAUUGUUACAGUCAUGAGAUUUAAUUCGUCUUUACGUGAAAUGUGUCAUAGGAACAUAGAAUUACGAAAUUGCACCUGUAUGUUAAGCUACAUCGCCUUAGAUUUAGAUGAAGUUUGGCGACCAAUGUACUCGAUCAACUGCAAUAAUUUGAACUUGACCCGUCUUCCCAUCUCUGUACCGGAUAAUACGACCAUUUUUUAUGCGCAAUAUAAUC